UUAAGCGACUAAGCGUACACGGUGGAUGCCCUGGCAGUCAGAGGCGAUGAAGGACGUGCUAAUCUGCGAAAAGCGUCGGUAAGGUGAUAUGAACCGUUAUAGCCGGCGAUGUCCGAAUGGGGAAACCCAGUGUGAUUCGUCACACUAUCGUUAACUGAAUACAUAGGUUAACGAGGCGAACCGGGGGAACUGAAACAUCUAAGUACCCCGAGGAAAAGAAAUCAACCGAGAUUCCCCCAGUAGCGGCGAGCGAACGGGGAGCAGCCCAGAGUCUGAAUCAGCUUGUGUGUUAGUGGAACGGUCUGGAAAGUCCGACGGUACAGGGUGAUAGUCCCGUACACCAAAAUGCACAGGCUGUGAACUCGAAGAGUAGGGCGGGACACGUGGUAUCCUGUCUGAAUAUGGGGGGACCAUCCUCCAAGGCUAAAUACUCCUGACUGACCGAUAGUGAACCAGUACCGUGAGGGAAAGGCGAAAAGAACCCCGGCGAGGGGAGUGAAAAAGAACCUGAAACCGUGUACGUACAAGCAGUGGGAGCACCUUCGGGUGUGACUGCGUACCUUUUGUAUAAUGGGUCAGCGACUUAUAUUCUGUAGCAAGGUUAACCGUAUAGGGGAGCCGCAGGGAAACCGAGUCUUAACUGGGCGUUAAGUUGCAGGGUAUAGACCCGAAACCCGGUGAUCUAGCCAUGGGCAGGUUGAAGGUUGGGUAACACUAACUGGAGGACCGAACCGACUAAUGUUGAAAAAUUAGCGGAUGACUUGUGGCUGGGGGUGAAAGGCCAAUCAAACCGGGAGAUAGCUGGUUCUCCCCGAAAGCUAUUUAGGUAGCGCCUCGUGAAUUCAUCUUCGGGGGUAGAGCACUGUUUCGGCUAGGGGGUCAUCCCGACUUACCAACCCGAUGCAAACUACGAAUACCGAAGAAUGUUAUCACGGGAGACACACGGCGGGUGCUAACGUCCGUCGUGAAGAGGGAAACAACCCAGACCGCCAGCUAAGGUCCCAAAGUCAUGGUUAAGUGGGAAACGAUGUGGGAAGGCACAGACAGCCAGGAUGUUGGCUUAGAAGCAGCCAUCAUUUAAAGAAAGCGUAAUAGCUCACUGGUCGAGUCGGCCUGCGCGGAAGAUGUAACGGGGCUAAACCAUGCACCGAAGCUGCGGCAGCGACACGAUGUGUUGUUGGGUAGGGGAGCGUUCUGUAAGCCUGCGAAGGUGACCUGUGAGGGUUGCUGGAGGUAUCAGAAGUGCGAAUGCUGACAUAAGUAACGAUAAAGCGGGUGAAAAGCCCGCUCGCCGGAAGACCAAGGGUUCCUGUCCAACGUUAAUCGGGGCAGGGUGAGUCGACCCCUAAGGCGAGGCCGAAAGGCGUAGUCGAUGGGAAACAGGUUAAUAUUCCUGUACUUGGUGUUACUGCGAAGGGGGGACGGAGAAGGCUAUGUUAGCCGGGCGACGGUUGUCCCGGUUUAAGCAUGUAGGCUGGUUAUCCAGGCAAAUCCGGAUAAUCAAGGCUGAGGUGUGAUGACGAAGCACUACGGUGCUGAAGUAACAAAUGCCCUGCUUCCAGGAAAAGCCUCUAAGCAUCAGGUAACAUCAAAUCGUACCCCAAACCGACACAGGUGGUCAGGUAGAGAAUACCAAGGCGCUUGAGAGAACUCGGGUGAAGGAACUAGGCAAAAUGGUGCCGUAACUUCGGGAGAAGGCACGCUGGUGUGUAGGUGAAGCCCCUGCGGGUGGAGCUGAGACCAGUCGAAGAUACCAGCUGGCUGCAACUGUUUAUUAAAAACACAGCACUGUGCAAACACGAAAGUGGACGUAUACGGUGUGACGCCUGCCCGGUGCCGGAAGGUUAAUUGAUGGGGUUAUCCGUAAGGAGAAGCUCUUGAUCGAAGCCCCGGUAAACGGCGGCCGUAACUAUAACGGUCCUAAGGUAGCGAAAUUCCUUGUCGGGUAAGUUCCGACCUGCACGAAUGGCGUAAUGAUGGCCAGGCUGUCUCCACCCGAGACUCAGUGAAAUUGAACUCGCUGUGAAGAUGCAGUGUACCCGCGGCAAGACGGAAAGACCCCGUGAACCUUUACUAUAGCUUGACACUGAACAUUGAGCCUUGAUGUGUAGGAUAGGUGGGAGGCUUUGAAGCGUGGACGCCAGUCUGCGUGGAGCCAACCUUGAAAUACCACCCUUUAAUGUUUGAUGUUCUAACGUUGGCCCCUUAUCGGGGUUGCGGACAGUGUCUGGUGGGUAGUUUGACUGGGGCGGUCUCCUCCCAAAGCGUAACGGAGGAGCACGAAGGUUAGCUAAUCCUGGUCGGACAUCAGGAGGUUAGUGCAAUGGCAUAAGCUAGCUUGACUGCGAGCGUGACGGCGCGAGCAGGUGCGAAAGCAGGUCAUAGUGAUCCGGUGGUUCUGAAUGGAAGGGCCAUCGCUCAACGGAUAAAAGGUACUCCGGGGAUAACAGGCUGAUACCGCCCAAGAGUUCAUAUCGACGGCGGUGUUUGGCACCUCGAUGUCGGCUCAUCACAUCCUGGGGCUGAAGUAGGUCCCAAGGGUAUGGCUGUUCGCCAUUUAAAGUGGUACGCGAGCUGGGUUUAGAACGUCGUGAGACAGUUCGGUCCCUAUCUGCCGUGGGCGCUGGAGAAUUGAGGGGGGCUGCUCCUAGUACGAGAGGACCGGAGUGGACGCAUCACUGGUGUUCGGGUUGUCAUGCCAAUGGCACUGCCCGGUAGCUAAAUGCGGAAGAGAUAAGUGCUGAAAGCAUCUAAGCACGAAACUUGCCCCGAGAUGAGUUCUCCCUGAGACUUUAAGUCUCCUGAAGGAACGUUAAAGACGAUGACGUUGAUAGGCCGGGUGUGUAAGCGCAGCGAUGCGUUGAGCUAACCGGUACUAAUGAACCGUGAGGCUUAACCU
rnacentral:rRNA from 1 species